ACAUAUAUCUAUCAUCACUCACAAGUCACAACAACUGAGAUAGUUCACAUCCAAUCUGUUGUUUCUUUCUCCAGAAAGAUAGUCCAAGGAAAAAAAUGUUUUUCCCAUAUAUUUUAUUUAAAAUGCUAAUAUUUGCAUAUAUUAUCUUUAAAGUUGAUAUUUGCUCUUAUACCUUGACAAGCAUAGCAGACUUGCAUAAUUGGACCUCCAUGCCAUCUGUGAAUACUUAUUAGUUUAAUUUUGUUUGGUUGAUUGUAUUCCUGAUCGAAAUGCCCUGCUAGUAGUUGAUUCAGGGGUUCCAUGCUUCAAAAAAAUUAUUGUAGAAAAAAAAACAAGCAUGAUAUUUCCUUUUCACAAUUUAAAGUGGAAAAGUUAAGGAUGAACAAAUAUACUACCUUUCAGAGUCUAUGAGAGAAAAUAUUAGCUUUUUCGAACACAUUUUAAGUGUAUAAAAAGUUGUCUCUUCACAUAAGAAUCAUGGCUUUUUACUGCCAGUGAUCUCUGGUUGAAUGUGGCUGAAACCUAUAUGUAAAAGCUUAUCCAAUAUUCUAUCUAAAGAGGCUAAAAUUAUCGAAAAGGGAUAAUCCAUUCAUAAAGAAAUAUAAUAAACCAAAUUCUUAGAAGAGAUUACAUUAAUUUCUGUGGAUCAUAUUUCCCACUUAAAAUCCUAAAAAUUGACAUGACAAGAAUUAUAUGAAUUGAUUCAUUACUCAAGGAUCCUCACUUGAAUUGUUUUCUUGUGAGUUUUGGAUUGGUUCCUUAAGUAUCUCCAUUUGAAUUCUUUUACUUAAGGAUCUCAAUUUGAAUAAUUUUUUUGGGGAUUCUCAUUUCAAUUGUUUCCUUGAGGAGCUUCACUCCUCAUAUACCCCUGCAAGAUGGAGCUCCCGUUGGAGGCAUUAAUCAUGGUUCCUAAAAGGUUAAAUCCACACUUAGGAAGAGACUUGUUCAUAAUGUUGACCAGCUGAGUUUGAUUGGAAACAUGAGCAACCUGAACCAACCCAAUGUUAGUUGUUUACGAACAAAAUAGUAAUCCACAAACAUGCUCCAUGAGAGUGGAAAAUAGGGUUUUCAUAAUAUAAGUUGCUCCAAUAUUGUCACAAAGAAGUGUAGGAGGUUGAUGAGGGUGCAGUCCAAGUUGUCAUACGAGAUUCGAGACCAAAGUUUACCUAAGUUGCACUUGAGGCUAUUGCCCUGUACUGGUGUUUGGUGGAAGGUCUUGCCACAGAUUUUUGUUUCACCUAACACCAAGAUAUGGGAUUGCAAUCAAGGUAGAGAAUAUAUGCAGUUGUUGAGGUAUAAUAUUUUUUAUUACCCGUCUAGUUAGCAUCAAUAUUGUCAUUAAUAACUGGCAGUUCAUGCCAUCGAAUAUGAACAUUAUAAUGGUUAGUAGCUUUGAGGUAUCAAAGUAGUGUUUUGCAUCAGGCCAAUGUAAUUGAGCAGGAGAAUGCAUUAACUUAGCAAGUUUGUCGACACAAUAGGAUAUAUUGGGAUGUGUUAAUGUCAAGUAUUGUAGAACACCAAUGAGACUUCAACAUUGAUUUGAUUAGAGGAUGAGAAGUCAUCAUUAAGAAUAAGCCAAGAAUAAGUUGGCUUAGAGAGAGACUGAUUCAUUGGCAUCAAUUAUGUUGUGACGAUCAAGUAUCUCUCUAAUAUACUUACGUCGAGAGAGACGGUCCUUAUGAUGUAGAAAUAACUUCAAUGCCAAGAAAAUGAGCAUCCUUAUCUCUUUUAGGAAAUCGAAUUACUAGAGCUUUAAUGUGCUUGGUGAUGAAUACUUUUGAGCUCCCUGUUGUUGAAAUCACUUAAUGUACACCAAGAAGUAUGUACUGAUUCUUAGUAAGAAAAAAAAAAAAUUAAUUCUUGUCACAUAGGAUUUUAGGAUUUCGAUUAGGAAUUAUCAUUCAUUAUAAUUGAUGUAAACUCUCCUAGGAAUUAGGUUGUUAUUUUUUUUUAUGUUGGUGUUUUUAUGUAUAACUAUACACUAAACUUUGAAUGAUUAUCCCCUUUCAACCAUUUUUUUAGCUUCUUUAUGGUAUUAGGGAAGGUACAACUAUACCCUAAUGUAUGGUUAUAACCUGCUUGGGUUUUUUUAUGACACCAUAACAUCUCAGAGUUUGUCAUUUGGUCUCGACAAUAUCAAUUUCUCCAUGCGAUUCUUCACUAUCUGAAGAAGUCAUUCCAUUGGUGGCAUCCACAAAAUCCUUAUGUGCAGCAUUUAGAGAACUUCAAGAACUUUGUACCAGCAGAUCCUAUUCAUCCAUCACGCAUCCAAAAGAGAGACUCUUUUUAAUCUUUCGUGGUUUCUACAAACCACCAAGAGUCUCUCUAAUAACUUUGCAUAAGCAAGAAUUCUUAUCGAUGAUGAUGACCUUAUCAUCUAUGCAUUUAGAGUAAUGAUCCUGAAUAUAAAAAUAUUGCAGCAGCUAUUCGAUCAAGAGAAAGCCUAAUAUCUUCUGAAGAACUCCAUGUCAUGUUCCUCGAGAAUGAAGGAGUGUUUGCAUAUCCAUUUGGUUUGGCUUGUACAGACUGAUAAUUACACCUUAAUAGGAUUUUGCAAUCCCUGGAAUGAAGCUUUCAUGGACCGACAAGAAACAAUAUCUGAUUCUUUUAUCCAAUUCUCUCAUUGUUACAGUGAAAUUACUUUUUUUCUUGAGAGCGCUCACUCAAAGAAUGGAAGGAAAUUUUUUAAGAACACUCAUAAUGUUAACCAAGUUUUAUAAUAUGAUACAGUUUGGUAUGUGAGCGGUGUCUACCGGGCCUGAUAGCCUACUAGCUUGUGAACCAGCUUGUGGACCAGGUAAAUCAGAUGGUAUGCCCAGUACAGGUUUCUGUCAGGUUAGUAGCCCAAUCGCUGCUGUAGUUGGGUGUUUAAUCUUCUGCAGCAACUUGAAGUUUAUCUUCAUCAGUCUCCUAUGCUUAUUUGUGACAUCUUUGAGGCAACUUAUCUUCGCACCAAUCCUGUUCGACUCUCGCAUGAAGCAUGUUGCUCUCGAAGUCUCAAUCACUAUUUUUGUUUGUGAACAAGUUUAACAAACGUAGGAAUAGCUUCUAUUCUCAACAUGAUGGUUAUCAACUCUUGGCUAUACCUGUCACAGCACAUUCUCAGUCUUUAAUUGUGUUCUGCCCUUUACUUUAAGAGGACCUCAACUUGUGUGUAAAUGGACUUUGUCAGCAUUAGAGUAUAUAAGUAAUCAGUUUCUUAGGCUCAACCAAUUACAACAUUGGUGAUUAGUUUUAGAUUCUUAGUAGUUAAGUACUUUCUUUAGAUUGAUGUGUUGUCUCCCUCCUCCUCCCCCCUCCCCCCUCCCCCCUCCCCCCCAAAAAAA